rnacentral:rRNA from 1 species
GUCCACGCCGUAAACGAUGGAUACUAGCUGUUGGGAGCGAUAUCAGUGGCUAAGCGAAAGUGAUAAGUAUCCCACCUGGGAGUACGUUCGCAAGAAUGAAACUCAAAGGAAUUGACGGGCCCGCACAAGCGGUGGAGCAUGUGGUUUAAUUCGAUGAUACGCGAGGAACCUUACCAAGGCUUAAAUGUAGAUUGACCGGUUUGGAAACAGACUUUUCGCAAGACAAUUUACAAGGUGCUGCAUGGUUGUCGU